rnacentral:misc_RNA from 1 species
UGCUCUUUUCCAGGGAAACAAGUGAGGCAAGAACUUGUGACGAUGCAAUGAAUCAUCAUCAUCAUUCAACAACUGAGCACUCCGUUGAGUCCAGACCAAAGCGAAUUUUAAAGGUUUAUGUGUCUUGGUCACAGCUUUUCGAGAUCGUCUCUUACUCGAGCUUCUGCUGGAGGUAAUGUUAUGAGGAGCUUGCCCCUCAGGAUUUACACUUUCUUCGGGCAUGAUGAAUGCUGGCUGAACAUGGCUUUCCAGUGAAGUCCUAACCAAUUGAUUUUUUCUCCUCUUGUAAUAGCCAUCAGAAGGUAAGGCUGGGGCAUUAUGAGCAUUAUAAACAGACAAUGAACUAGGAUUUGA